CGGUAAUUCCAGCUCCAAUAGCGUAUACUAAAGUUGUUGCAGUUAAAAAGCUCGUAGUUGGAUUUCUGCGGGGACGGAGCGGCCGGACGCAACUUGCGUCUCGAGCUAGCGCUUUCCCCGCAUCCUGCCGCGAACCGUGCUACCAUUAGUUUGGUGGCGCUGGGGAUCGGCUCGAUUACUUUGAGAAAAAUAGAGUGUUCAAAGCAGGCCACACGCCUUGAAUAAGUCAGCAUGGAAUAAUGACUAAGGACUUCGGUUCUAUUUUGUUGGUGUUCGGGACUGAAGUAAUGAUUGAUAGGGACAGUUGGGGCGGUCUGUAUUCCAAAGCGAGAGGUGAAAUUCUUAGACCUUCGGAAGACAAACAGCUGCGAAAGCGUUCCGCAAGGAUGUUCCCUUUGAUCAAGAACGAAAGUUGGGGGAUCGAAGACGAUCAGAUACCGUCGUAGUCUCAACUAUAAACUAUACCAGCUAGGGAUCGGUCAACGUUUAAUUAUUCGACUUGAUCGGCACCUUAUGAGAAAUCAAAGCAUCUGGGUUCCGGGGGGAGUAUGGUCGCAAGGCUGAAACUUAAAGGAAUUGACGGAAGGGCACCACCAGCCGUGGAGCCUGUGGCUUAAUUUGACUCAACACGGGAAAACUUACCAGGUCCAGACAUAGUAAGGAUUGACAGAUUGAUAGCUCUUUCUUGAUUCUGUGGGUGGUGGUGCAUGGCCGUUCUUAGUUGGUGGAGUGAUUUGUCUGGUUAAUUCCGUUAACGAACGAGACCCCAGCCUGCUAAAUAGCGCGGCUGAGCUUUGCUCGGUGCGAGCUUCUUAGAGGGACUAUGAUGCGCGAUAGCACAUGGAAGUUUGGGGCAAUAACAGGUCUGUGAUGCCCUUAGAUGUUCUGGGCCGCACACGGGCUACACUGGCGCCUGCAACGAGCAUAUCAGCUGGCCCGAGAGGGUCUUGGCUAAUCUUUUGAACCGGCGCCGUGCUUGGGAUUGACCUUUGCAAUUGUUGGUCAUGCAACGAGGAAUGCCUUGUAAACGCGAGUCAUCAGCUCGCAUUGAAUACGUCCCUGCUCCUGUACACACCGCCC
rnacentral:rRNA from 1 species